GCAGGGUAGGCAAGCCCGCAACGCUGCGGUGUGUUGCGGCGCGGCCUACCCACGACUUCACAGGGGCCAAAGGCCCUCGGGUCAUGCUGCACUUGGACCGAAGCUAGGUAAACGCCACAAAUCAGUGAACUUAGCUCCCUUAUUCCAAAGUGUGAGCAUCUAGCCUGGGAGGCACUCGUGUCUUCAUUCAAGGCUCGACUGGGGAGGCCAGUCUCAAGGUGCUCACUAAGAGAGACGUUUGUUUGGGACACAGCUGACAGUUCACUAUUUACGGUGCCAACCAGAGGUCAACGAGCUUUAGUCUAAUCAACCUCAGAUAAAAGGGCGACUCUCAACAAAAGGUGGAAUCAAGACGGCAAGCUGCCUCCAGCUCCAUAUCUCAGUCGCAGUUCAGCUCUCACAGCAAGACUUGGUAAUAAGAAAGGCACUCUGUUCUCAGUUCUGUAUGGCUUCGAUGAAACUGUUAUUUAAUUGAAAGAAAAAUUUAGAGGACUGGACUUUAAAUUCUUUUUAUUACUGGAACUGUUUCACACCUACUUGGAUCACGAGAAAAACCUGAUCAAUUCAACAAAUUGUUCUACACUCAUCAGUAAUAAAAUUCUAAUAUAUUGAAGUCUUUUGAUACACUUUCAUUACAUGCACAAUUUAACACUAAAAAGGGACAGAAACAAU